rnacentral:lncRNA from 1 species
AAUGUACGUUGUUAGUGAUACCAUUUGAUUGAUCGAAGCGGUUUAAAUAAUUAAUGGGCAUGAGACACGGUUAAAAUGGCUAAUUAAUGAAGAACAUGGUUGAGUUUUGGAAUCUUAAUUAGAUCCGAAAACCCUUCUGUUUUGUUCUGCAUUUUGCUCUGUUGGUAACAUAACAUCACCUGAACAGCUCUGACAAGCGCAAUCUCAGUUAAGUUUGUAAUUAGACUUUUCUUGCUUUUGGUCCACACUUCCCUUUCUUUUGGGGUAUUUUUUUUUUAAUCUCUUUUACAUUUUUGUCGGUAAGUCUUGGAUACUUAAGAUCA